AUACGGAGGGUGCAAGCGUUAAUCGGAAUUACUGGGCAUAAAGCGUACGUAGGCGGUUCGUUAAGUUAGAUGGGAAAGCCCCGGGCUUAACCUGGGAACUGCAUUUAAAACUGGCGGACUAGAGUUGAGUAGAGGGGAGUGGAAUUUCAGGUGUAGCGGUGAAAUGCGUAGAGAUCUGAAGGAACACCAGUGGCGAAGGCGACUCCCUGGACUCGAACUGACGCUGAGGUACGAAAGCGUGGGUAGCAAACGGGAUUAGAAACCCCGGUAGUCC
rnacentral:rRNA from 1 species